ACGCACGCUGGCGGCGUGCUUAACACAUGCAAGUCGAACGGAAAGGCCCUGCUUUUGUGGGGUGCUCGAGUGGCGAACGGGUGAGUAACACGUGAGUAACCUGCCCUUGACUUUAGGAUAACUUCAGGAAACUGGGGCUAAUACCGGAUAGGAGCUCCUGCUGCAUGGUGGGGGUUGGAAAGUUUCGGCGGUUGGGGAUGGACUCGCGGCUUAUCAGCUUGUUGGUGGGGUAGUGGCUUACCAAGGCUUUGACGGGUAGCCGGCCUGAGAGGGUGACCGGCCACAUUGGGACUGAGAUACGGCCCAGACUCCUACGGGAGGCAGCAGUGGGGAAUAUUGCACAAUGGGCGGAAGCCUGAUGCAGCAACGCCGCGUGCGGGAUGACGGCCUUCGGGUUGUAAACCGCUUUCGCCUGUGACGAAGCGUGAGUGACGGUAAUGGGUAAAGAAGCACCGGCUAACUACGUG
rnacentral:rRNA from 1 species